AAAAAUCCAGAGGAGGAGGUAUAUCACAAUUAAUGCAAAGUGAGGGGGAAAGAGAGAUGUGUCUUAGACAAAAUGCUUCCCUUGUCAUAUGCACUAGAGUGAUGUUUUGCUAGAAUAGUCUCCGUGUCGGUGCUGAGGUGGAGAGCCAAGGGGCGCUUUGCUUUCCCUCUCUGGUGCGUUUUACCUCUUGAGACACCGUAACUUUAAAGUCCUCCAAGUUGUAGUCGGCGCCAUCAUGACGCCGGGGACUGUGAGAUUUUGUUGUUUAUCUAAUUUUUUCCAAUCUCUUCUGGGCGGCCGCGCUACAAUCGACAAGUUGACUACAAUAGGCCAACUAGUUCACUCUUUACCUCUUUUUCGGAAAUAGAUGACUAGUGAUUUCUCCGAAUUAUCUUAUGACCUGAGACAUCACUGUCACUAUCAAGUUUAACAAGAAAAACAGGUACCAAGACAAGAAGAUUUAAGACAAAAUAGAUAUAAUGUAUGAAAAAACAAUACAAAACCCACUACAAACAUUCACUGAGAACUUAUAUGCCAAAUGUGUAACAAAUAAUGUCAACAAGAAGCUCAAUAAUUUGGCUCAAAUUGGAAAACACCAAGUGAAUAAAUACUUUAAAAAUAGUCUUAUUUGGGGAAACAAUAUUGCCUGUAACUGAAAAACUGAAGGAGGAACUGGAUUAUUUGAAGUCAAGAAAAUAUUCAUAAGAAUUAGUUAUAACUCAAUGAAAGCAUGAGUAGGGAAGAAAUUGAAAUUUGUCAGCAAAUGGACUUACUAAGCAAAUACCUUAAUGCAAUAUCAAUAAGAUCAUUAAUGUUGGUUCUAUCUGUCAAAACAGUUACAAUCUGAAAUAAAUUUACAAACUCAGACUUCUGCCA
rnacentral:lncRNA from 1 species